ACCACGUCGUACGUUUCGUAAUUGGAGGAGCAACAGAAAUUACUGAAUUUUCCGUAGUUGCCAUUUGCAAGCGUAUACCUCAGCAAGAUGUUUCGAGGAGAAACAUAAUCGGCAAGAAUUGUGGACGAUUGUUUUCAACAAUACCAAGUUUAUCGGCCCGUUAUAUGCAAUGUGUUCAUUUCCUUUUCUCUCUUUGUAUGCUUUACAAGGACGGCACAAGAAUAGGGUGUUAUGUAUUUGAAAAAUAAACUUGAUUUUUACAUAUUUAAAUGGUAAAAUAGUUUUUAAGAAUCCUUUUGCGAGGAUCUUGCACUUUUCUUUAUGACAGCUGUAUAUAUAUUAUUUGCAGGUGUGUAUAUUUUCAUGGUAUGAGAAAUGCUU